UUGUUUCCAUUUCAUAGCUUUUUGGUUGCAAAUUGUCUUCCAUGAAGGCCAUUUCUGACAAGACUUCUAAAGACAGUAGAUGGGUGUACCAGGGUCCUACUGUUUUCUGCAGUCAUGAGCUGAUGGCACUGCUAGACAUCUUCCGAUUGCGACAUGAAAUGGCUUGGAGGCCACGAAAACCUCAAAGGACCAGCUGGACCCUCACAAGCUCGAUGUGCUCAUAGAUGCAGUGUGAUAAAGCAGUUUCCAAAUCCUAUAGUGUCUACAGUCGUAGAAAAUGCAACGAGUCCUACUCAAAGAUACCGACCCUCCACUCCAAGGAUAAGGAUUGACAUUUUUCAGUUUGGUUCCACCAUUUGUACUGUAUGCUUGUGACGGAGUACCUUCACUACAGUUGAGUAAGCCCUUGGACUGCCAUACCAACGAGCCUGGCUCUUUCGCUUUGCUGUCAAAGUUGCGUGUUUGGUACCCUGUAGACCUGUGUUUGAAUCUGGGUAGGGUGACUGCUCUCGCCUUUGGUGUCAGAUGUGGGAUGGCUUGCCUUGAGGUCAUCUGAGCCGUGCCCAGAGUCUGAACUGUAUGAGGGACCCCCAUGGGUAACAUUAAUGAUGGGAUGUGUACAGUGUACUUUUCAGUAAUACUGAUCAUAUGUCAUAAUUUUACUGAUUUUAUUUUUAUCUAUAUCCUCUCUCUGUGCAUUUCUCUGCAGAUGUAGUGAGCAUUGCGUCUUCACUCUCGUGAAUAACUUCCACACAUCUAAGACCUGUUUUAGCCUGUCUGUGUGAGAGACAUGAGGUUACUGUCUGAACACACGUGUGAAACAUGACGCAGCACAGCCUGUUUGUAACGUUCAAUGUGACCGGCAGAAAAUUGGACAUUUGACACUGCUCGAUCCCGGUCACUGGUCAGAGCCGAGUAAGCGAAAAUAAACUACCUAUUUCAGUCCCAAGCUAAUCACUCUGCGCAUAUCUAGCUGUAGAAGAAGAGUUACAAUCAAAUAAGCUAGGUAAUGUUAUAAUAACAUAGAAGAAUAAUCGGUUAUCAUAACUUUUUGUCAUGAUUAAUUUAUUAAUGACUCAGCAUCAUCUGUA